UUUAAUCAUCUUCAAAGUAAUUCUAUCUAGAGCUGCUUAUUUGUUAUUGGUUUGUGGAUAUAAAUUUGAUAGUAGUCUAAAUUGUGAAUUAUAUAUAUGAAAGUUGGUCAACUCUCUCCAUAAAAUGACAUGUGUCAUUCGAUUUUUUUUAAACUAAAAAUU
rnacentral:sRNA from 1 species